rnacentral:rRNA from 1 species
GAGUUUGAUCCUGGCUCAGAACGAACGCUGGCGGCAGGCCUAACACAUGCAAGUCGAGCGCGCCUUUCGGGGUGAGCGGCGGACGGGUUAGUAACGCGUGGGAAUAUGCCCUUUGGUACGGAAUAGCCUCUGGAAACGGAGAGUAAUACCGUAUGAGCCCUUCGGGGGAAAGAUUUAUCGCCAAAGGAUUAGCCCGCGUUAGAUUAGGUAGUUGGUGGGGUAAUGGCCUACCAAGCCUACGAUCUAUAGCUGGUUUUAGAGGAUGAUCAGCAACACUGGGACUGAGACACGGCCCAGACUCCUACGGGAGGCAGCAGUGGGGAAUCUUGGACAAUGGGGGCAACCCUGAUCCAGCCAUGCCGCGUGAGUGAUGAAGGCCUUAGGGUCGUAAAGCUCUUUCGCCUGUGAAGAUAAUGACGGUAGCAGGUAAAGAAACCCCGGCUAACUCCGUGCCAGCAGCCGCGGUAAUACGGAGGGGGUUAGCGUUGUUCGGAAUUACUGGGCGUAAAGCGCACGUAGGCGGAUCGGAAAGUUGGGGGUGAAAUCCCGGGGCUCAACCCCGGAACUGCCUCCAAAACUAUCGGUCUAGAGUUCGAGAGAGGUGAGUGGAAUUCCGAGUGUAGAGGUGAAAUUCGUAGAUAUUCGGAGGAACACCAGUGGCGAAGGCGGCUCACUGGCUCGAUACUGACGCUGAGGUGCGAAAGUGUGGGGAGCAAACAGGAUUAGAUACCCUGGUAGUC